GGGCCUCGGGGAGGUCUGAGGCGAUGAUGCAAAGGGCUGCACGCCGGACCUUGUGGGAGGCAUUGUAGCGACGGAGGAGCUGAAAUGUCCUCUCAGAAACAGCGCCAGAUUCGUGGUUGCCAUAGGGGGAGGGCUUGGAAGCGUCUUGAAACC
rnacentral:ribozyme from 15 species